GCGUCCUUGGUGUAACGGUAGCACGGCUGGCUCCAACCCAGCCAGGUCAGGGUUCAAAUCCUUGGGGGCGUG
rnacentral:tRNA from 1 species